AGCAGCCGCGGUAAUUCCAGCUCCAAUAGCGUAUAUUAAAGUUGUUGCAGUUAAAAAGCUCGUAGUUGAAUUUCGGGAUCAAUAUGUUGGUCGUGCCUUGGUACGUACUGGCAUUAUUGGUUUCUACCUUCUGAAGAACCUCGAUGUCAUUAAUUUGGUGUCUUGGGGAAUCAGGACUGUUACUUUGAAAAAAUUAGAGUGUUUAAAGCAGGCUCGCGCUUGAAUACAUUAGCAUGGAAUAAUGAAAUAGGACGUUUGAUUCUAUUUUGUUGGUUUCUAGGAUCGACGUAAUGAUUAAUAGGGAUAGUUGGGGGCAUUAGUAUUCAAUUGUCAGAGGUGAAAUUCUUGGAUUUAUUGAAGACUAACUACUGCGAAAGCAUUUGCCAAGGAUGUUUUCAUUAAUCAAGA
rnacentral:rRNA from 1 species